UACGUAGGGGCCUAGCGUUGUCCGGAUUUAUUGGGCGUAAAGAGCUCGUAGGCGGCUUGUCGCGUCGGCUGUGAAAACCCGCGGCUCAACUGUGGGCGGGCAGCUGAUACGGGCAGGCUGGAGUUCGGUAGGGGAGACUGGAAUUCCUGGUGUAGCGGUGAAAUGCGCAGAUAUCGGGAGGAACACCAGUGGCGAAGGCGGUUGCCUGGAGCUUUGCUGACGCUGAUGCGCGGAAGCGUGGGGAGCGAGCCGG
rnacentral:rRNA from 1 species